rnacentral:rRNA from 1 species
UGCAUAGGUUAUGUGCCCUUUAGUCUGGGAUAGCCACUGGAAACGGUGAUUAAUACUGGAUACUCCCUACGGGGGAAAGUUUUUCGCUAAAGGAUCAGCCUAUGUCCUAUCAGCUUGUUGGUGAGGUAAUGGCUCACCAAGGCUAUGACGGGUAUCCGGCCUGAGAGGGUGAUCGGACACACUGGAACUGAGACACGGUCCAGACUCCUACGGGAGGCAGCAGUAGGGAAUAUUGCUCAAUGGGGGAAACCCUGAAGCAGCAACGCCGCGUGGAGGAUGAAGGUUUUAGGAUUGUAAACUCCUUUUGUUAGAGAAGAUUAUGACGGUAUCUAACGAAUAAGCACCGGCUAACUCCGUGCCAGCAGCCGCGGUAAUACGGAGGGUGCAAGCGUUACUCGGAAUCACUGGGCGUAAAGAGUGCGUAGGCGGGGUAAUAAGUCAGAUGUGAAAUCCUGUAGCUUAACUACAGAACUGCAUUUGAAACUGUUACUCUGGAGUGUGGGAGAGGUAGGUGGAAUUCUUGGUGUAGGGGUAAAAUCCGUAGAGAUCAAGAGGAAUACUCAUUGCGAAGGCGACCUGCUGGAACAUUACUGACGCUGAUGCACGAAAGCGUGGGGAGCAAACAGGGUUAGAUACCCUGGUAGUCCACGCCCUAAACGAUGGAUGCUAGUUGUUGCCUUGCUUGUCAGGGCAGUAAUGCAGCUAACGCAUUAAGCAUCCCGCCUGGGGAGUACGGUCGCAAGAUUAAAACU